rnacentral:misc_RNA from 1 species
UCCGGUUUGUCACCGGCAGUCUCCCAUGAGUCCCCAACUGAAUGCUGGCAACAUGGAACGGGGGUUGCGCUCGUUGCGGGACUUAACCCAACAUCUCACGACACGAGCUGACGACAGCCAUGCACCACCUGUGAUCCUGCCCGUGAGGGAAGCCCUGUUUCCAGGGCGGUCAGGAACAUGUCAAACCCAGGUAAGGUUCUUCGCGUUGCGUCGAAUUAAACCACAUGCUCCACCGCUUGUGCAGGCCCCCGUCAAUUUCUUUGAGUUUUAACCUUGCGGCCGUACUCCCCAGGCGGAUGACUUAACGCGUUAGCUACGGCACGGAAACCGUCGAUAGGUCCCCACACCUAGUGCCCAACGUUUACGGCGUGGACUAC